rnacentral:tRNA from 1 species
GCCAGGGUAGCUCAGUCGGUUAGAGCACGAGAAUCAUAAACUUGAGGUCGUGGGUUCGAAUCCCACCCCUGGUA